UGUUGUGUCAAAUUCCAGUGUAGAGCACAAUUUUUCACUUAUGCAUGAACAUACAUAUAUUCAUUGUUACGGUUUUUUUUUGCUGUGAGCUACCGUAAGAUCUUGUAUACAUUUCCCUGUGCUGUCCUACAGUGUAAUCUUGCUCAUCUGUUCUACGUUUUGAGAUCCCAGUCUGUCCCUUCCCACCCCCUGCUCCCUUGGCAACCACAAGUUUGUAUUCUAUGUCUAUGAAUCUGUUUCUGUUUCGUAUUUGUUUUUUUUAGAUUCCACAUAUGAGCGAUCUCAUAUGGUUUUUUUCUUUCUCUUUCUGGCUUACUUCACUUAGAAUGACAUUCUCCAGGAACAUCUAGAGUCCUUAUUAUAUCUAAAAUAGUUCCUUAAUAUCAUAAAUAUCCAGUAAGUGUUCAGAUUUCAGUCAGCUAUUGUUACUCUUCCUAGCAGUAUAUUUGAAACAGGAUUUGUGGGUCAAUAUGUAUUUUCAGACUUUAAAGAAGAAACUACUUUGGCCCACAUCCUGGACUUUACUGAUCGCACACCUGUAAUGUAGUUCUCCGUAUUCCCAGUAAAUUAAUAGUUGGAGCCAGAGGCUUCCUGUGUUCAUAUUCUCAUAUUCUCUUUUUUCCCCACUUUUUUAUUUUUGCAACAUUACAGUUGAUGAUUUGUUCUUCCAUCAGAAGGUAGAUAAUGUCUGGUUGAUUCUGUCUUUUGGGAUUUCAGCAACCAUUGCUAUCAUUGCUUCACUAGGAAUGGCAAUAUGAUGACAUUCUGUCAUUUCUUUUUCACUUAUUAGCCGGAAUAUUUCUAAAAAGAGAAACUUUCCCUUGUGUACUGUUUGGUUGCCCAGCAGUACUUGGAAAUGGAUAAAUACUUGGUUUUGUUCUCCUUAUUUAUCAAUUUCAGAAUGCCAAGUUGGUCCAUCUUCUCUGGUGAUGACCCGUGAGGUUUUUUUUUUUAAAGUAAUAAAUGAACUAAUGAAAAGAGGACUAUUAUUAGAAUUGGGAUGUUUGCUACAGCUGUUUUGUUAAAGUGCAGCUGUUUUGAUGAAUUUUGUUAGUAAGCCUAAAUAAAACACCUAUUAUUCCAUAUCCACUGUAAGACUUUCUAACGGUCAAAACAAAAUCUUCCUCUGCAAAGCUAAGACAUUGUAGUUAAUAUCCUUAUUAAUGCUCAAAACAUGCCCCCUCUGGCCCGUUGGAGCCUCUUCGGGUUGGCGUCCGAGUCUUCCUGCCCCACCCGGGAGUCUGCUGGUCUCCUUGCUGUCUGCGACAUUGUUCUGGGCUCACCGUGUCCGUGCCCCGUCCCAGACCUGGAAUCAGCCGUUUCUUCACAGAGCCCUGCUUCCUUUCAGUGGAGACCAUAAUCUGUAUUUCUAGGGUUGAAAAAUAGAUUUUUUUAAAAGCAGGGUUCUGUAUAUUUAAAGAUUGUUUUGACUAGUACUAAAGGAGUUCAUGGUAGCUUUCUAACUUAAAAAAACAAAACCACAAAUAUACUGGAGCCUCAGUCUGAGACCCUGAAUGGGGUUGGAAGGGUGUAGUCCUGCCACUUUCCCAGGUCUCAGGAUCUUCCUGGUGUGUGAUAAUGUGUGUUUCUCUCUUGUCCACAUCUUUAUUGGGAAUCCACAUGGACAUAAUAACAAGUUGUCUUUCGCUUCCUGUCAAGUAUGAGGCCAGAUGGCUUUUCUCCCAGGCCGAAGAGUCUCAGGGUGACCUCUUUGGAAGGAUACUGGAGCUCUUAUUGGUAGAAAAUAAAUGUGCUGCUUUUUUCUUUUCUAAAACAGUACGCAUUAUUAGCCAGAUACCUACUUUUCCAAGUACUACUCAGGGAGAACAGAUAAGAGUUAUUACGUAUCGGAGAUCAUUCUGUGGGUUAAUCUCUCCAGUUUCCUAACUAAACCAAAGCAAAAACCUUUGAAAGAAAUGCCUUAAGACAGUUAGGUCCCAUAACCUAUGAUGAAAAAGAAUAUGAAAAUGAAUGUAUGUAUGUAUAUGUAUGACGGAACUAUUACGCUGUACACCAGAAACUGACACAACAUUGUAAAGUGACUGUACUUCAAUUAAAAAGAAAAGAAAAACACAGCUAGGUCCCACAAGCUCUGAGUUCAUAAUGCCUUAAGGUCUUGCGUUUUUCAUGAUGCCCUUUCUUAGGCCAAAAGAAAUACCUAGCUCUUCAUUUCAUUCAGUCAACUCCGGACAACUUCAGAGUAGGAGUUAGUGUAGUAUCUAACAGACGUUUUGUGCUUUUUUCCCCUUGAAAAUUUAAAAUAUCCCACAGUGUCCUGUUAGGUCACUGCCGCACAGGUUAGGGACCUUAGGGAGAUGCAACCUUCCCUUUGGAACAUUGUUACAGAGAUUACAUUCUGGAUACAUACUCCAUAGUACCACAUCCUCUCCCCUACCUUCAUCAAAAUCUGGCCUUAAGAGAAAAGAACAUUAAAAUACUAAACUUGUGGAAUACAGACACAGAUUUCUUUCACAUUCAAAUUUAUGCAAAUUGAGAUUUUAAAAACUCUUACUCUUCUAAUACCAGUGAAGACUCUGAGUCUUACCCAGUGUUUUGUUAAGUCUGUGAGGAGGGAACCUGGUACGUUUGGAAUUGGGGCACUUUAAAAGCAGUGAGAUUAAUAUUUAUCCAAAACAGUGUCUGAAAUUCUAAUUCCAGAUAAAAGAAUCAUAGUCUUGGGCAAAUGUAGGAAAAUUCCGAACUAUUAGGAAAAUUCUAAACUUCACGGAGUCUGUGAUGCCAUCUCCCGCUGCGGGUACUAAUCUUGGCUAACAUUGUAUACAGGCUUCUUGUUUUGACUUCAAGAAGUGUUUUGCCGUGUGGGGCUGCCUUUGGAGCCUGACUGCUUGAAAACACAGUUAAGACAAAAGUCAGGGACCCGGUGAAGGCCAUGUUCUCUGCCCAGCAGUCAUUCCCCAGUAGAUUGUCACUGAGGGACUGAGAUUAAUUAAGGCUGACCGAGGGCUGUUAAAAAGCCACAGAACAAAUUAUCAGUUGACGGAGAAGAGGGGAUGGAUUUAGUAGAGUGUCUCAACAACUCAAAAAUUGUGCGUAAAAAAUCCAUUUUCCCCCUUCCCGUUGCUUUUAAAAAUGAGGUGGAUGCUUCCUCGGUAUAGGUUGAACGUGGUUAGAAACAAGUUCUUGACUAGUUCAUAGGAGCUGUGUUUAUUCACACCCUGAACGAAAGGGGAGGGAAUGAACUAAACUGACAGCAGGAGAGAUUUGGAGUUAGACUUCAGAAGUUCCUUCAUCCCUGAGAAACUAGAUUGUCAACAAUCAGGCAUCAUCUUGCGGACUUUUCAGAAAAGUCAUAACUGGCUUUCUGAAAGGACUUCAUUUAAAGGCUGGUUACCAGGCUGGCUCUUAAGAUCCCCUUCAGUCCUGGGCAUUUCAGAUUCAUGUACAUUAAACAUACCCCACAGACAAAACAAACCUCUCACCACUGUCAUCUGCUGGUGUGAGCCAGGGGUCCAGGAGGCAGUAAGGAGGUGGGUGGGGGGAGGAAGGUUCUCCAAUACCAGGACUUCAAGAGGGUUUGAGACUCCAUCCGGCAAUGUAUUGGCUUCCGAAGCUUCUGAACUACUAACACUAGAAUACAAAAGGGAGAUAUUAUUUGUAAUAUCUCAAUUUUGGGAUCUGUUUUCCCCAAAAUUUGUUAUUUGUAUGAUUUCUCUAAGCUUUUAUUUUCCUUUUGAAUUUUAAAAAUGUGAGAGGUUGAUAUAGACUUGGUAAAAUCCCAAAUAAACAGAGAGAGAGCAGCCUGGAGACCAUUCCCAUGGCCAAGAGCACUUUGCCGAUGGAGAUGCAGUUCGGAUGCAGGGCAGUGGCAGAGGGAGUGAGGCUGGGAGGAGGGGCAGAGAGAGCCGUAGCAGUGAUGUCACGUAGCAGUGAUAGUGAGAGGGGUGUGACGUGAGCAUGAUUCUCCAGGAUGUCUCUUGUCUGUGACUGUAACUUAAAACGUCAGAUCACUUACCUGAAGGGUGGGGCCAGACCUUGAGAGGUAGCUGGUCCAGCCCUCCUCUCAGCAGUGUUCCCACAAGUGUCAUCCGGCUGAGAAUUCCAGAGACACUCUGCUCUUCUCUGCUGCUCUCUCUCCUGCUUUGUAGCGUCUUUGUUGUGGGUUUCCCCCCAGACUCUAGGUGGUGGUUGCCAUCUGCCAGGCUCUGUGCCAAGUGUUUUGCGAAUAUGAAGUCAGUCUCACGAGAGUGCUUGAAGUAGAUUCCUUCAAUAAAGAAGAGGCGAUGGAGGCACCAAGUGGGUAACCUCCCAAGAUCCCACAGCUGGUGGGUGGCAGGAGGGGGAUCACGACCUCUGCCGCCUGGCUCCGGGCUGCUCUUUCCCUGCCACCUUCCUCCCAGGCGGUCCUCUGUGUGGACGGCAGCCAGGACCGUGUGUUCUCCCGCUGGUGCUGGUGGGGGUCUGACCGGGAGGAGGGGUGAAGCAGGAAAACUUUUCAUUUAGGUGAUUCUUCUCAAGUAAAGUCACAAACUUUCAAAACAGUGGGAUUUUUUUUUAUUUGUUUGCUCAUUUUUGCUUUUUAGCGAGUGAAGGGAAUGGGAGAAUGGCUUAAAGAAAGAGGUGGGAGUAGGUAAAAGUAAUCUUGGUGACACCAAGGCAGCUGCCUUACUUGAAAGUUGUACUAAACAGCCCUGCUUCCUAUAACUCAGCCCCAUGCAUUUUCCUACUAUCUUUAUAUGCCCACACCGCUUCAGACAGAUUGCCUGUUGGUUUUAAUAAAAAAGCAUCGUGGUUAGGAGUGGAUUGGAUGCCUGCUGGGGUUUCCUCUGGAAAGCUUUUCUCCUGCUUUAAUGUGGGUUCCAUGGUUCGAGCUGACAGUGCAUGACAUUAACUCAGCUCCUAUUUCUUUCCUUCCUUCAACAAAAUAAUAGCAUUUGAAAAAAUACCCUAAUCUGGAAAUGAUCUCUGACCCAUAUAACUUUCCAGUUAUUUCACCCAGAGAACAUCUGGAACAGUCAAAUCAACACACAGAUAUUUGAGACCUUCAAGUUAUGGAGGAACAGCUCAAAUAAACCCAGUUUUCAUUGUGAACCUGGCAGAAAGGAUAUUAAUCAGUUGCUAAAUUGUAAUCCUCCUAUAGUAGCAAGUGAGAAGAAUUUACACAGCUUUGCAGUGAACCAAGGAUCAAGUCGCCCUCUGUUUUCAGUGCGUUGUACUUUAAAACACGCUCAGAGCUUAUUUCUUAGUUUAUGACGCUUGUCCAAGAUAGAAUCAUGUUGAUUUACUCUAGGGACAAAGGAGAUGUUAAAUUUUAUAUUUUUAACAGUCUAAGAAAGGUUUCUGCGAAUGUAUCUUAAGGAAGGUACAAAGUAUCCAAUCUUAUUGUCUAAUAAUUGGGGACCAGUUUGAUUAAAUAAGGGUAUAUCUACUUGAUAAAAUGUCCUUAUUGCCACAAAAAUUAAUAGAAGCAGUGUAACAGCAGAAGAAAGCCUUACAAUGUUUUAAAAAGCAGAAUAGAAAAGUUUGUAAUACAGUUAACGGCUCUGAAGAAACAAAGCUUAUAGACACAGAUUAGAUUGUAAUAGAAAAUUAAGCAAUUGAUUUGUUGAAUACUAGAGAUCAAAGUGGAAGAUAUUUCUCCCUUUCCAUUAAUUGGAGGGAAGUGUGUGGGGAAGGGAGAGCUGGUAAAAUGGGAAUAUGAGCUCUGAGGUUCUGAGCGGUCCCUCCAGCCAGAGUGCCCUGGCAGCAGCUGAGCACAGCUGGUUGGCAGACCCUGGAAGGACUGGUGCAGAACCCAGGAGGAGACGUGCGUAGUAGGUGGCUGGAGACUCGGAGAGGAAGCAGCUGAGAUGGGGUUACCCUGGGAUGCCCGUGAUAGGGUUACCAUGGUGAUAGGUCACAGUUCAUUCCCUCUACUUCCUCAAUAGUUAGAUAUUUUUAUUUUAGAUAAAAAUAUAGCUUUUUAGAUAUAUUUGUUUCAAUAAAGUUAUAUAUCUAUGUAUUUAGAUAUAAUUACUUUAAAUAUAGUUAUUUGGACAUUAGAUAUUUAAGUGCUCAGGACCAGUUUAACUUUCAGUUUGGGCUACUGCACCAUUUUGGUGUUUCCUGCCAAAAUAUUUUACCAGUGAGAAUUUUUUGACCCCAUUUGAAAGAUUUGAAGUAUGGCCUCUAUAUUAUGAAUGUAAUCUAUGAAAGAAUUUGAGUAGUUUCUCUGCUGAGAAUUAUGGGAUAAAAUGACUUCCUCCUGUAAUAUCAAGUGAGGACAAUUUAUCAUAGUUUUGCAGUGAAUUGAGAAUAAAAUCACUUUCUAUCUUA